rnacentral:ncRNA from 1 species
UUAUCCGUGAGGGUUGGUCUGAAGGAAGCCGCUAGCCUUCCUAUUCAUUAAGAGUGCGAGCUGAUGAACAAGAACAUCAUAUGAGGCGUAGGCUAGAGGUGAGUUGGCAGGGUCUGCCCCGCGUAGCAAGGGUACAAGACGACGAAACCACGUGAUCUAAUGGCCACAGUAAAUGAUGCAGCAGUGCAAAGAAAGUUCAUGUU